GAUCAUUAAAAGUUAAUUGGUUAUACUCCGGUAUAAAUCUAAUUAAACACCUCUGAGUACCUUACCUGUUGCUUCCGUGAGGCCUGACUCCAGCAGUGGUUCGCCGCCGCUGGAUACUUGCGGAAGGUAUACACUUAAACACUUUUGAAUCAAUGUCAUCUGUCUGAUAAUGUUUAUAACAAACGUUAAAACUUUCAACAACGGAUCUCUUGGUUCUCGCAUCGAUGAAGAACGCAGCGAAAUGCGAUAAGUAGUGUGAAUUGCAGAAUUCAGUGAAUCAUCGAAUCUUUGAACGCACAUUGCGCCUCCUGGUAUUCCGGGAGGCAUGCCUGUUCGAGCGUCAUUAAAACCUCCUCAAGCUCUUUUGCUUGGUAUUGGAAGAAGAGGCCGCUUGUCGGUCUCCCUUUCGAAAUGCAAUGGCAGAUUGCCUCAUGUGCCCUGGCGUAAUAAGAUUUAUCUUUCGCUUGUGCAUUGAGACGAUCCCGCCGCAAACCCCCAAUUUUUUCUGGUUGACCUCGGAUCAGGUAGGGAUACCCGCUGAACUUAAGCAUAUCAAUAAGCGGAGGAAAAGAAACCAACAGGGAUUGCCUCAGUAACUGCGAGUGAAGCGGCAAAAGCUCAAAUUUGAAAUCUGGCGCCUUCGGCGUCCGAGUUGUAAUUUGGAGAGGCAUCUUCGGAUAUGGCGCCGUCCUAAGUUCCUUGGAACAGGACGUCACAGAGGGUGAGAAUCCCGUGCCUGGUCGGCUGUCCAUAUCCAUGUGAAGUGUCUUCGACGAGUCGAGUUGUUUGGGAAUGCAGCUCAAAAUGGGUGGUAAAUUUCAUCUAAAGCUAAAUAUUGGCGAGAGACCGAUAGCGCACAAGUAGAGUGAUCGAAAGAUGAAAAGAACUUUGAAAAGAGAGUUAAAAAGUACGUGAAAUUGUUGAAAGGGAAGCGCUUGAGACCCCACUCGAUCUUUGGUGAUCAGCUAGGCUUCUGUCUGGUGCACUUGCCAUUGAUUGGGCCAGCAUCGGUUCUGACGGCGGGAUAAAAGGCAGAGGAAUGUGGCUCUCUUCGGGGAGUGUUAUAGCCUCAGUCAUAAUGCCGCCAGUUGGGACCGAGGACCGCGCU
rnacentral:rRNA from 1 species